ACAGCAGCGCCGCGGUAAUACAGAGGAUGCAAGCGUUAUCCGGAAUGAUUGGGCGUAAAGCGUCUGUAGGUGGCUUUUCAAGUCCGCCGUCAAAUCCCAGGGCCCAACCCUGGACAGGCGGUGGAAACUACCAUGCUGGAGUACGGUAGGGGCAGAGGGAAUUUCCAGUGGAGCGGUGAAAUGCGUUGAGAUCGAAAAGAACACCAACAGCGAAAGCACUCUGCUGGGACGACACUGACACUAAGAGACGAAAGCUAGGGGAGCAAAUGGGAUUAGAUACCCGUGUAGUCCCUGUCUCUUAUACA
rnacentral:rRNA from 1 species